CCUGAGGUGAUCACUUCUUUUUCUUUCUUUCUUUUUUUUUUUUAAAUAAUUUUAAAUGCAUGACUGGCAAUUCAAGAGAAAACAGAAGGAACGGUUGUUAUUGCUGAGGAUCUCAGCCCAGCCGGAGGAGACGUCUUCCUUCUGUGGAAUCAAACAUCCGUCAGGGAACAGUCAUGCAAAUUUAUUUCUCUUUUCUUCUUUUUUUUACCUAUUCCAUUGAUCCGGAGCCUGUAGCAGUUGGCUCAUGGAGAGAGAGAUUUGUUAAUUCAGGAGCCUUGCAAAGCCUCAGCUGGUGAGGAUGGGGAUUUGCCAAAGCUCCUGGCUCAGGUUUGUGCCAUGUGUGGGGACUAUGGCACUGUGGGCUGGGACACAACCCUCCAAAGGAGAGGGCAGAGGUGGUUGCUGUGUCCCCUGGGCAUUGUGCGUGCUUGGAAUGACCUGGAAAGGCAGGAGAGUGGCUGCCAGCUCUGCCAAAGUUGCUUCCCACUAUGGAAAGGGACAAGGACACUUGGUCACACUGCUGGGACAGUCACCUCAAGCCCUGAGGAGUAAAUGUGAGUUAAGCCCUUAAAAUCCCAAGAUGGUCUUAAAAAUAUCCAUCUAUGAAACUAUAUUUGAUUUUAUUAUUAUUAUUUGACUCUUCAGUCCAUCUGGGUGUUUUCAGGAGUCACCUACCAAAUUUCUCUCUGCAGGUGGGAGGUUCAGGGUCCUGUCACUUCCAACGGCAUCUUCAUGUUGGAGAGGGAUGAUUCCAGCCCAACUGCUGGCUGAGGAUCCACAGCUGUGCGUUGGGGAAGGUGUCAGGCUGCCUUGCAUGGUCUGAGUCUUCAGAGAAUUCCAGAAUGGUUUGGGUUGGAAGGGACCAUAAAGAUCACCUUGUUCUAACCCCUUGCCAUGGGCAGGGACACUUCCCACUAGGCCAGGUUGCUCCAAGCCCCAUCCAACCUGGUUAUGAGUCUUCUCCUUCCUCAAUCUCUUCUCCUGGGCAUGAAGAGCAGGUGAAGCUGCCUGGGCAAGGGCCAGAGGCUGGUGCUCUCACUGCUGUGGAGAAUCUUCUGUUCUGGAAGGAAGAGCCAGAGCACAUCCAGCGGCUGGAGCCCGAGAAACCUCACUCUCUGUGACAACCCUGUGUCCCUGCAAUGCUGUUCCUCCUCUCUUCUGCUGGAAGCACUGCUUUGUCCUUCAAGAAAAUGUCUUUUUUGCUUGAAUUGAGUGUUUUGAUUCUCAUCUCCAAAUCUCUCUCCAAAUCCCAUCUCUGUGUGUCUCUGCAGGCCAGCUCUGGUUCGCUGCAGGAGGCAGAGGCCAAGCCCUCAGCUGAUGACUCCAGAUGAGUUAAGACACGUGUGGGUGUCCCCACCACGUGGGCUUGUGUGGCUGCAGAGCAGCCACUGAGCAUCCCUGCUGCUGGGAGAACCAGAGAGAUUCCUCAUUAAAGCAAUCUGGGAGACGUUCACCCGGACAGAACUCCGAAUUUCCUCUGCUGGCGCUGCCUCUCCUCUGUCUCCUCUUCCUCGGGCGGUGGAAUUUGCUGGUAUCCCCUCCUUUCCCCCGGCCUUCUCCCCGGCCCCAGCAAUGACUUGUCUGAAUAACUCAGCUGAAAGUUCGGGAUGGCAGAUAAAUACAGGAUAACGGCGAGCAGCUCCCGGGCAAUCCGCUGCCAGAGGGCGGCUGAACUGCCAGUGAAUUAUUUAUCCGCUGUGAAUUAUUUGCCUGGCCCUGCUAGGGAAGAAAAGCUCCUUCCCAGCCUUUGCCUGACGAAUGGCCUGGCUGGGGGCUACUCUCCGGGUGCUGACUCAGCCCUUUCCCAGCUCCCUGCCUGCUCCUGCUGCUGCGUGCCUGGGUCGGCGCGUGGCCCUGGGGAGGUGAAGUGCCGGAUGGGGCUGGAGCCACCUCCUCCUGCAGGCAAGUUUUUUCAGCUCUUUGGUCUCUUCAGAAGCAUCGAGACCACCCCCUGGGACCCCUCCCGAGGGAGCGUGGGUGCUGGGGGUGGUGUCCCUCUCCUCUAGCUGCGGUGAUCUGCGGGCUUUCCCUGGAGCUGGCAGUGAGGGAUGCGGUGCUGAGGUGUCUGAACGGGAGCUGGAGAGGAUCAGGCUGGGCUGGGGAAGGCGGAGCCCCGGCUGGAGGCUCCGGGCUCGGCA